rnacentral:rRNA from 1 species
GCGAAGUGGGGGGGCGGAGGAGGGGUAAGAAGAAGGGGGGCUGUGUGGGUGGGAAGAACGGGUGGGAAAGCGGACGGAGGCGGCGUUCGAAGUGAGGGGGGAAAGCCGGGAGCUAAACUCCAGAACUGCCUUGGAUACUGGGAAGCUGGAGGCCGGGGGAGGGGAGUGGAACUGCGAGUGUAGAGGUGAAAUUCGUAGAUAUUCGCAAGAACACCAGUGGCGAAGGCGGCUCACUGGCCCGGUACUGACGCUGAGGUGCGAAAGCGUGGGGAGCAAACAGGAUUAGAUACCCGGGUAGUC